CUAGAUCUCAAUUCGAAUCGAGAUCUCAACCCGGAUCCCGACCUCGAUCCAAUUCAGAUCAUGAUUUGGAUUUUAUUUUACUAAUCAAAUAAUAAAAUAUUUAAUUAAUAUUUUAUUUUUUUUAUUUUUUUUAUUUUUUUUAUUUUUUUUAUUUUUUUCCAUCUUUUUUUCUUUUUUUCUUUAUUUUUCACCCUCCUCUUUCUCUUUCUUUCCUCCCUCCUCGCC
rnacentral:lncRNA from 1 species